GAUCAUGGCUCAGAUUGAACGCUGGCGGCAGGCUUAACACAUGCAAGUCGAGCGGAGACUUCGGUCUUAGCGGCGAACGGGUGAGGAAUGCCUGGGAAUCUGCCUGUUAGUGGGGGAUAACGAAUCGAAAGGUUCGCUAAUACCGCAUACGUCCUACGGGAGAAAGCAGGGGACCUUCGGGCCUUGCGCUAACAGAUGAGCCCAGGUCGGAUUAGCUAGUAGGUGGGGUAAAGGCUCACCUAGGCGACGAUCCGUAGCUGGUCUGAGAGGAUGAUCAGCCACACUGGAACUGAGACACGGUCCAGACUCCUACGGGAGGCAGCAGUGGGGAAUAUUGGACAAUGGGGGAAACCCUGAUCCAGCCAUGCCGCGUGUGUGAAGAAGGCCUUCGGGUUGUAAAGCACUUUAAGCGGGGAGGAAGGCCUUGAGACUAAUACUCUUGAGGAUUGACGUUACCCGCAGAAUAAGCACCGGCUAACUCUGUG
rnacentral:rRNA from 1 species